UGAGGGAAAGUUGAAAAGAACUUUGAAGAGAGAGUUCAAAAGUAUGUGAAACUGUUUAGAGGUAAACGGAUGGGACCGCGAUGCUCUCUCCGGAAUUCAACCUCCCGGGUGCGGCGCGGCGGGUCUGCUCGACAUCUCUCGCCAGGGUGCCCGCCGGGGUCGCGUCCGGUCGGCGCACUUCCCGGAGGUCCUGGCAGGGACCGGUUGGCUGGCGGCAAUAAACCGACGACCCAAGGUAGCCUCCCCCUCGUGGGGGAAGUGUUUAGGGGACGCUGGGGCAGCCGCACCGGCUGACCGAGGAGCGCCUGUGUGGGCGACCGGGCCCCGGGGUGGCGUUCGACUUGCGUGGACUGUGUGCAUUGCUCGCUGACUGUGCUGCUCAAUGCCUCGGGCCACCUCCCGCCUCACAGGGUCUCUGGCUCGUUUUGUCGGCACCCCAU
rnacentral:rRNA from 1 species